rnacentral:rRNA from 1 species
CCCAGCUUGCUGGGUGGAUUAGUGGCGAACGGGUGAGUAACACGUGAGUAACCUGCCCUGGACUCUGGGAUAAGCGUUGGAAACGACGUCUAAUACCGGAUAGGACCCUGGACCGCAUGGUUUGGGGUGGAAAGUUUUUUCGGUCUGGGAUGGACUCGCGGCCUAUCAGCUUGUUGGUGAGGUAAUGGCUCACCAAGGCGUCGACGGGUAGCCGGCCUGAGAGGGUGACCGGCCACACUGGGACUGAGACACGGCCCAGACUCCUACGGGAGGCAGCAGUGGGGAAUAUUGCACAAUGGGCGAAAGCCUGAUGCAGCAACGCCGCGUGCGGGAUGACGGCCUUCGGGUUGUAAACCGCUUUUAGUAAGGAAGAAGGGGAGCUUGCUCCUUGACGGUACUUGCAGAAAAAGGACCGGCUAACUACGUGCCAGCAGCCGCGGUAAUACGUAGGGUCCGAGCGUUGUCCGGAAUUAUUGGGCGUAAAGAGCUCGUAGGCGGUUUGUCGCGUCUGCUGUGAAAUCUGGAGGCUCAACCUCCAGCCUGCAGUGGGUACGGGCAGACUAGAGUGCGGUAGGGGAGAAUGGAAUUCCUGGUGUAGCGGUGGAAUGCGCAGAUAUCAGGAGGAACACCGAUGGCGAAGGCAGUUCUCUGGGCCGUAACUGACGCUGAGGAGCGAAAGCGUGGGGAGCGAACAGGAUUAGAUACCCUGGUAGUCCACGCCGUAAACGUUGGGCGCUAGAUGUGG